GCUGAUACAAUGGGGCGUAUGCAUGUAGUUCUAGAUACUCAAGAGGCUGAGGCAGGAUAUCCUUUGAGUUCAAGGGUUCUGGGCUACAGUGUGUUAUGCCCCUCAGGUGUUCACAGUAAGUUUGGUAUGAAUAUGGUCACCUCCCAUGAGUAAUGACAUCAGAUUGUCUAGGGAGAGGUGAACCAGUCAAGGUUGGAAAUACAUCAUAUCAACAAUCCCCUGCUGAUCAGUAGUGGGAUUACACAUGUGGAAAGCCAUUAGAACCCAGCCUGGGCAGCACAGUAAGAUCUCAU
rnacentral:SRP_RNA from 1 species